AAGAUGCCAUUCUCAUCUGGAAAGCGAAUGCUCUCGGCCGAGGCCGUUUGCGUGGCAGCGCGUGGAGGUCUGCGGGGGUCCCAUCCUCAAGCGACAUUCUGGGUCCCACGCAGAAAAAGUCAGGCCACUGAAGGGGCCGCUGUGAGGACAGGGGUGAGGAGAAGGGGGCUAACUUUUCGGCCUGCCUUUCUCGACGUUCCUAAUACCCGAGCUUCCGUUUAACAUAUGUGUGGCUCUUCAGCUCAGCCAAGUUCAUUUUUCUGUAUGCAGCUGAAAAUGAUUCUAGAAGCAAAACUCGCUGUCCGUGUCUGAAACGGGAAACUUGCUUUCUGGAGCAAAAGUCUUUUUCUCAGUAGAGCAAAUCCUGCAACUCGUGUGGGCAGAAACCCAGUCCUCAGAGGUACAGGUAGAAACGUGGAGAUCCCAGCAGACCCCUGCAUCGUUCCUAACUGGGAAAUGAGCAGAGUCUGUGGCCGCACACAGUCGGGGAGGCUUGGGUAACUGUGUUCUCUUCUCCAUGUAUGGCCUAGAGCACCUCAUCCACUCGGAUGACUUCAUUCGUUGCUGCUACAGAAAUGUCAGCCUUUUCAAUGUAAUCUAUCUGAACAAUUCACUGGCAUUUCAGAUGGGAAAUGUUUUUUUAAAAACUGAUUUUUUGAAACUUCAUCUCCUAUCCCAAACUCUCAGGCCUCUCUCUUAACCUUCCAAUUUUAAUCAAUGGCAUUUCCAUUCUCCUAGCAGACCACCCACCGUGAUCAUCUGGCUUUGUUCUUACGGAAGCCAGGUUGAAGCUACCCAGUACCCAAGUAGCCCCAUCCAAUGGGAAAUUCCAAAUCAAGGCCUCCAAAGAGAUAAGUCCUGGAAUACAGGAGUCAAAAUGGGCCCCGAAACAGACAAUUCACAAUUAAAUUCCCCAGAAGAGCAGGAAGUUUGCCCUCGAGGUGCAGGCUUGUAGAGAUUACUCAAAUGGACUAAACUGUACAAAAGGCAGCCAUGGACAAGUUACAGGUCCAUUGUAUCAGUAUCCGUCCUUGACUCUGUAUCCAAAGCAGAGUCUUCUAUGUGGGCAGGGUAAAAAGAGGCUUCCCCAGAAUCAAACAGUCCUGAUCACAAUAUCUCCCUGCCCUCAGAUUUGCUAAUCAGAAAACCACCCCUACACAGUUGCAAAGACACCUCCCCCAAGGCCUUCGCCAGCCCUGAGGGCACCUCCACAGUGAAACAUGUCCUUUUGGCUUUCCAGCUUGAUUCCCAAAAGCCAGUCAAACCAGGGUGGAAGCCUCCACUGUGUUCUACAUCCCGUGCAGUGAGUGGAGCUUUGUGAAGUUGCCUUAGAUUGCUAAGGGCAGAACUGUGCCCAGACAGAAAUAGGCAAACCGAAUUUCUCUUGUGUUCCCUUACUCUUUUUCAUGACUGCUCUCAUUCUGCUCUCUUCUCCACUAGCCCGGGUGUCUGGGACGCUUGCGUCGUUUCUAGGCUCUCCCAAAAGAGUCUCGUAUCCAGCCCUUCCCUCCCUGAGAAUCGCCCCAGUCUAUUUGUCCUUCUCCCCUCCCCUAGUUCUGUUAAAAAUGACCUCAUUUGUGUCUCAUUCUGAUCAGGUCUUGGGCUCUUCUUUACAAAGUGGCAAUCCUAGUCUGUCAACUGACUCGUGUUCAUGGGUUUAUACCCUCUUCCCAGCCAGGUCACCCCUGAGCUUAAACAUGGCCUCAUGAAAACCAGGUCCCCAUGAUCACCCUAAGGUAACCUACAAAGCUCUAGCCCUGGAAGGCAGGAAGAUGACUGCUGGGAGACAUAUUUUAAGAGUGACACGUCAGAGGCAGCUCUCGACUUUUUAAAAAAGUGCCAUGUUCUCUAUUGUUACACUCUAUGAUUACUGUACUAAGGGCCCAUCCUGACUUCUCUGGAAUUUUCUGCAAAUAUGUAGUUCUGGUGUAACUUCAGCAGGGGUAAAAAUUCAAUGGUACAUAACUGACAAUUUAUCAAAUUAAGAAAUAGAACAUGCAAGUUUUUCUUAUAAGAAUUUUGUAACGUAAAUGGUCAUUGUGCUAAUUCAGACCUCAACUUCUCUGCUGCUAUAAAGUCUCCAACAGAAAAAGCCAGUAAUGGUCAUAAAACUGAUCAUGUUUUUUGAUUCAGGAAAUCCUUUUUUGAACAAUAACAUACAAAGACGAAAAGUAAACAAAGCUGCCUGUUUGAAUAUAAACACAUAUGCAGACAAAAAAAACAAAUAAAUGGGUUAGAGAAACAACAACAAAAAAAUUACAUCCAUGGAGGUAAAGGGAGGAUUGUUGCGUUAAUUGUAACUCAAACCUCUUAACACUUGAGGAAUGAUUAAGCAAGCUAGGGUGUCGUUACUGGGUAUAUUUGAUGGUGUACAAUAGUAUAUGUUACUUAGAUAUUAAAUGAAAUGUGUAUACUAUGUAGAUUUAUAGAGACGUUUAUAGUAAAUAAGGUUCUGUGAAAAUAAUAUGACUCAAAAUGUUAAAUAGGAUAAGCAAUAUAAAUGUGUCACAACGCCCUGGAGUGCAGGCUGAUCCCUGGAGACCAGUACUGAGUCAUCUGGUCUGCUCAAGGGCCAAUUAAGGAAAGAUAAAAAUGUUUACAAACCUUGUUUUUCAUAAUUUAUCUUUUUUAUGGAACUAUAGUGUCUGCAAUAUCAGUUAAACAGCCUUUUAGUAUUUCUCAUUUAUGUAACAACUCCUUCCUUCCUUCUUUCCUUCCUUCUUUCCUUCUCUUUCUGAAACUUUCUAAAUAGCAUGUGCUACCUAACCUUAUUUGUAACCCACGCCCUUUAAACAAAUUUUGAGGAGAUGAAUCCUGGACAUACCAGGGUAGGAAAGGGAUUUGAGGGAUUUAGAAAAACAGAGGUGAGUGGACCCCACAAUUCACCCACAGACUUGAAAAAGGAGACAAUAGCUGGAGGGGGGAGGCUGGAAACUGAAGGAGCCUGUCUGUGGGAAAGGGAGCGUCCCUGAGAACCCCAAGGAAGGUGGCUGCUCGGUGGAGGGGCUAUUAGGUAAGCGGAUAGAAACUGCACAGCCUCCUUUGCAAUUCCAGAUGUCUUCAUGUGGAAAGUGUGGUGACAUCUUAGAUGGGAGAUGGGGAGGGUGGGGGCUCGCCUCCUCAUCGUCUCCAUCGCCUCAAAUGGGAGUGCUCAGAAGUGUUCCAGAACAAGUAGACAGCUCUCACUGAAGACAGGGAAGGCUCUGUUGGGAUCUCACAAAGGAUUGGUGUCAGGUGAUAAUGUUUAAAUUUUCCAGAUUCCUGAGAGCCAGCACUGGGCAGCUUAAGCCAUCCUCAGCAUCCAACUGGCCUCUUUACUGACACUCCUGCCUAGCAACCUCCACUGUCCCUUGGAUCUCUGGCUGAGCUUAAAGUGUUGGGUUAAAAGAAAAUAAGCAAUAAGAUAUAUAUUAACACCUCCCAUGGAAGGUAAACGGAUUGAUUCAGCUGUGACCACCUCCCGAAAGCCCUAAGUAACAUGUAAUUCAGUCAGUCCUGUUCAUUUUCAUUGCUUACUUGUAAAACUGAGAAAUUAAACUACAAUGAUGCAGAUCAAAGUCACCACAACCCCAGUUUCGUUUCAUAGACUGUCUUGGGUUAUUUCUUCUGGCGAGUCAGAAGUUUUCCUGCAAUUGCUCAGAGUAAUACACGGAGUUUAGGAUUUCUUUUUCUUAAAAGGAGUUGUGUUUCACUUUUUUGUACCUUGAUAUUAUUUGCUCUCAAACUAAAAAUUGGUUUAAUUUUAGAUGUUGGCAACGAUUCUCAUAUCACAGGGAUUUCUAUGUUUAGCUGUUUACCCACCCAUUCGGCAAAUAGCAGACACUGACUGUGCUAGACACUGGAAGAAUGACCAAUGGCGGAAGAAGACCCACGUUGACGUCGAGCUAUAAAGGAAAGAGACAAACAUAUAAACAGGAGACUAUUGUAUGAUGUGAAAUGUCUGAGGCUUGGUGUAGUUGCUUCAUUUUUGUAGAUCUUCUUAUUCAAGAAAUGGGUAUAAAUUCCAGAGAUGCCAAACCUUGAAUUCAACUGAAAUCAACCCCCAAGUAAAGGAGAAGAUGAUCAGGAUGGUUGGAGUUUGAACCUAGUCAACUGGUAGGCUGGCCUUCUCUGCCUCUCCUGUCUCCACUGCAGGACCUGACCAGGACACCACUCCUGAAAUUUACCUACCACAGUUGUAGUCACAUGCAAACGAAGAGGCUGGAUCUGGGUAUCUCCUGCAGUGCAUGUGGACUGUGCAGAGAGAAGGAGUCCCCUGGAGUGGGACACUUAGAGCAGAGGGCACCCAGAACCAGGAACCAUGAGAGAGGAGUCUCAAAAUAGGACACAAAGGGAGUGCUUCACCACGUCACAGUGCACAUUGCAGCUAAGCCUCCGGCUCUGCUGGGGUCAGGCCAACAUGGAAAGAACCCAGGGACACCCACUCUUCCUGGGCACAGCUGAGAAGAGAUUAGGAGCCAGAGAAAGGCCUCCAGGAAACCCAGGGCAGACCAGUAAGAAUCCAGAAGCCCAGUCCAAACCGAGGCAGAAAGAGGACUGAUGUGUCUAACACCUGGCCUUCGCUACCUCCGAAGAGAGACAGACCAAGAACAAACGAACCAAGAAGGUGAAAUGGUUAAAUGUGGCGCCUAAGCCUUUCUUUUCCAGGAACUGACAUAACUUCUGUCUGUCUGCCUACACGGAGUUGUGGUUAGGAACACAUUUCUGGGGGAUUGGUUUGGUUUCAAUGUUUUCCAGCAUCUGGUAAAAACAGAAUUAUGAAAGUUAAGUAUUCAAAGAUUGUUGUUUGGGUUUUGAAACAGAAACAUUUUGAAAUACUGAUAUGUUUUGCUUUCAUAGUAUUAUUUUACUUAAAGAGAUACGCUUGAAGUAAAACCAAAUUCUCAGCUACUAACAGAAACACUUUAGUCUUCCUUGUUGCCCAAAAGCCAGUUUGAGAUUCGGCAAUUUUAGGAGAGAAGGAGGGAGAGAGAGAGGAAGGACACACCACAGAUAAAAAGGAAGUUUGAGACAGUUGUGCCUGUUCUUAUUGAAUGUUUUAGGUGAUUCCUAUAUCCCUUUUCUUCCUUCAGCUGGGGCGAUCUUUCCAGAAAAUGCAGCCCACCAGGAAAGGUUAGAAUUUAUCCAGAGCAGCUAUUUGCACUUGGUUUUUGACAUCUUGAAGUAAUGUGUUUGUCUGAGUGCUUUUCUUAUUUAUACAUAAAUAAUCUUACUAUCUAUGUUUUAUGCUUUCUUACUAGCAUGUAGAUCUAAUGUAGUUCCAUUUACUGGAUUCUGAGAGAAAUAUAGACAUUGAAAGGGGGACUCUAGACUCCUUCCUCUGGCCAAAAUGCAGUAACAGGGGCCAGAUUUGUGUUCUUGCCUGAAACAGUAACAACAACAAAAGAUGAGACUUAAAAAAAAAGUUUCAAAACAUGGAUUUAGGCAACGAAGGACAAUGAGUGAUCCCUAAGCUACUGCCCCAUCUUGUGGCCUUGAGACAGUUUCCAGGCUGUGGUGCAGAGUGGAGAACAGAGGCAAAGCCUGGUAGAUCCCUGACUUGAGGAGACAGAGGUGAGAGUCAGGAGAUCAAGGCAGCUAGAGUUCAUGGGAAUCAGCACCAGAGAAGAGAGAGCUCCAUAAAGAGAGGACUUGGGAGAUCUGCAGAGGAUCCUUGAAUAUUCAUCAGAGGACCUACUGACCAGCACAUUCAUGCGCAGGCGUCAUCAGAGACAAGGGAGAGAGCCACUUGAAAGGAUUGGAGGUUUACAGUGCUCACUCAGAGCAAGGAAUCGUGCUUAUUCCCACCAGCCAGACCAGAAAACCUCAUAGUUCAUUGACAUUAGUAGUGUUAAACUAAGUUAAGCCUAAAGCUACCUCCUUACAUAUUUUAAGUUCAGGCUAAAUGUUUUUCCAUACACAGAGAACUGUAGCCUAACUGGACAUGUGACCAGAUUGUAAGGCACUCCUGUAACAAGUAGUCAAGCCUCAGCCAAUUAUAGCAGCCGAAUUUUGGCCACUCAAAGGCAGCCAACUGUUGAAACCAUGUUUAACUAAGUGCCAAACUGUCGCCAGCCAGCUGUUUCUGUGCUUCACCUCCAUUUUCUGUAAGUCACUGCCCUUUUACUGUCCAUAAAUGUUAUCCGGCCACAUGGUGGCCCUGGAGUUGCGCUGCUGGUUCUGGGGGAUGCCCAAUUCAUGAAUCAUUCUUUGCUCAAUUAAACUCUGCUCAAUUUAA